UACAGAGGUCUCAAGCGUUGUUCGGAUUCAUUGGGCGUAAAGGGUGCGUAGGCGGCGAGGCAAGUCGGAUGUGAAAUCCCGGGGCUCAACUCCGGAACUGCAUUCGAUACUGCUUUGCUAGAGUACUGGAGAGGAGACUGGAAUUUACGGUGUAGCAGUGAAAUGCGUAGAUAUCGUAAGGAAGACCAGUGGCGAAGGCGAGUCUCUGGACAGUUACUGACGCUGAGGCACGAAGGCCAGGGGAGCAAACGGG
rnacentral:rRNA from 1 species